AUUGAACGCUGGCGGCAUGCUUUACACAUGCAAGACGAACGGUAACAGGCCUUCGGGUGCUGACGAGUGGCGAACGGGUGAGUAAUGCAUCGGAACGUACCCAGAGGUUGGGGAUAACGCAGCGAAAGCUGUGCUAAUACCGCAUGUGAUCUGAUGAUGAAAGCGGGGGACCGAGCAGCAAUGUUUGGCCUCGCGCCUUUGGAGCGGCCGAUGUCGGAUUAGCUAGUUGGUGGGGUAAAGGCCUACCAAGGCGACGAUCCGUAGCUGGUCUGAGAGGACGACCAGCCACACUGGAACUGAGACACGGCCCAGACUCCUACGGGAGGCAGCAGUGGGGAAUUUUGGACAAUGGGCGAAAGCCUGAUCCAGCAAUGCCGCGUGCGGGAAGAAGGCCUUCGGGUUGUAAACCGCUUUUGGCAGGAACGAAACGGUGUCCGCUAAUACCGGGCGAUAAUGACGGUACCUGCAGAAUAAGCACCGGCUAACUACGUG
rnacentral:rRNA from 1 species